CUCUUUUUAUAUCUUUCACAAAACAAAAGAUUAUAAUCAUAGCCGGAUGAGAAUGAAAUGAGUAAAUCAAAUGGAUAAAGAAGUAAGAGACUCAAGCACAACUAACUGUCAAGGUUGAAAAUGGUGCAAGAUGGACGAGCUAAAGAAAAUAAGACCACACAAUUAGGAAACGAGCAAGUACAACGAACAACAAAGUUCAAGACGAAUUGAAGAGGGUAGGUUCAAGAAACUGAUACAACAAGAAGAGAAAUUAAAAGGACUGCACCUACUAUGAAAAAAUAGGAUUGCUGAUGUGAAUGUUCACUGCAACUAUUUCUGAUCCAAAUCAACUAGAGUGCUUAAAAUCGGAUUACUAUAUUUGUAAUGUUAUAAAUUAUGUAGUUUAAGCCAAACCCCCAGAAGCCAUUGUUGCAAACAUUUCAGUGGCAGAUGCAGUAACUUCCUUA